CGUAAUUAGCAGUCAAACAAUUAGCAGAGAGGAGAGAGAGAGAGAGGAGAGAGAGAGAGGAGUGUGACACAGACUACAACAACAAAUUAGGAUUCCAAACUGUGCAAGAUUGGAGAUGAGAGUAAGGGGAAAAAAAAGUAGCUUGCAAAGCAAAAUAACAGAGACCAUGAGAGUGCAACUUAGUCUGGCUCCCGUCAACCUUAUCAAAAGUGUUUUGAUAAUAAAAGCUGCACCAAUGUCUAUCUCUUUAUCGGCCUCUGGGUACUUUUCCUCCAUGUUUGGUGAUGUAGCUAACAAAGGGAGGAUUCCACCACAAGUUGACUUUCAAGCAGGGUCUUGGUGGUCCAUAGACUCUGAUGCUCCUUGUCUUCUUGUGUUUGCUGAUACUGAUAAGGCUGUUUCAACUCACCUAAUCUCAUCUUACAAUUAGACCAUGAGAGUGCAACUUAGUCUGGCUCCCGUCAACCUUAUCAAAAGUGUUUUGAUAAUAAAAGCUGCACCAAUGUCUAUCUCUUUAUCGGCCUCUGGGUACUUUUCCUCCAUGUUUGGUGAUGUAGCUAACAAAGGGAGGAUUCCACCACAAGUUGACUUUCAAGCAGGGUCUUGGUGGUCCAUAGACUCUGAUGCUCCUUGUCUUCUUGUGUUUGCUGAUACUGAUAAGGCUGUUUCAACUCACCUAAUCUCAUCUUACAAUUGUGAGUUUUAUACAUUACAAUUACAUUUUUUUUAGGAAAAAAAAACUUUAAAGGUGCCAAGUGCUCACCGGCACCGGAGCCCUAGGUUUUCCCUUCUCCUUCACCACCUCGCGGCGACUCCUUGCAUUGCCUUGCCUCUUCGUUUGCUGUCGCCGAAGGUGUGCCCUUGCCGGAUCCCUCUGCCGAAGUGUCGCCGCCGCACGUGACAGCGCUGGUAACACUCGAGCCAACACAGCCGUUGACCCCUCUUCUAGCCUCUGCCCCGACUCCAGUGGUGCUAUCCCUGUGCCUUAAUUCAUGACCGCCGCCCCUCUGCUGCAAUUUGGCAGCACAACCACCACUGGUGAGCCUUGUUUGCCGACCUCAACAGCCCUUUCGGUGACUGCUGUUUGGGGUGAGGUGUUAAUGGUGGAUGGAGGAUAGAUUCAUCAUGGGUUUGGUUUCGGACCGGAGAAAAUAGUGCCAAAUCCUUUAUUGUGUUUCUGCUCGACAGUGCCGAAGACGACACAGAGCUAUGCCGUAGUCGGAUCUUGGAGUGAAGAAUUUUCAGCAGCCAACGUCCCUUAAUGGCAGCAAGUUCCAGCCAGCAACUCUUUGGUUUCAGUACAAACUAGUGGCUGUGAAUUAAGGACUUUGACACAAGACGAGCAUCUCGAUGUUGGAUUUGAUUGGAUUGAACCUGCUUUUGGAGGCGGGUACCUCUUGACUUAUCUUUUAUGAUAUUGUCAUUGGAUAUGUAUAGUAUUUUAUAACUACAUGCAAUGAACAUGUUUGCCUUUGGUA